rnacentral:misc_RNA from 1 species
GCCCCUACUCGCGCGGCUCUGUCCUGUCGGAUAGAUCUUACAAGUCCGAACGAUGACGUCACCCCGCGUCGUUGGCGUUCACCAGGUAUCCCUGUCUAUGGGCCUCUCCCGGUACGUAUCCACGUUCGGAUCCGUACGCGGAUACACGCUCGUGUCUUUCCUUACGCUACGCUCGGCAUACAAAAUACUUGAGCAAAGAUUAAAAGAGGGGGAAGAACGCCGCUUGGGUUUAUCCGUGUGCGAGGCUGGACCUCGGGGAGAGGCACGCUGGACCCCGUUCCUGCCUGCUGCGUGCCUCGCGCACCGCGCUCUUCCACGGGGAGCGGGAAGAAAGAGAAACGACUUUUGAGAAGGAAAAGAGAGGAGAGAUGCCUGGCCAGAGAUAAAGAGGAAAGUGUCUACGUGUGAGCCAACACAGGACCGAGAGUAUAUGGAUUAACGCGAACACGGACGAACCCCUCGGAGACCGAAGGCUUCGACUCGCUCCACAGUCAACUACGGCGCAAAGUCUUGGAGAGUUGCACGCUUCGGUAGAGAAUGGGGCGAGAGAGAAGGACACGGAGCAGCCGAAGCUAGUGUUCGUGAGUAAGCAGGUCAUCACGAGCAAAUGGAGUCACCAAGAUUUGGAAAGCCUUCGACUGUUGCUGGUCCUGACGGUUGGACUUUACACGACAAUUAUCCCUUUCUGGAUCGUUCAGAUCAUCGUCUCCAUGGAUCCGCGCAGCUGUUGUUCUCAUCUGACCAUGGGCACGAUCUACUAUCUUCUGAAAUUGUCCUCGAUCACAGUCCCGAUAACUUGCAUCGCCACGUGCCAAAAUCUGAGAAAUUCGUUGCUGGAAAUGGUGCUCUGCUGCCGCGAACGCUGAGGUCGCAAGGCUCUCAGAAUCGAAGAGAGUACGAAAGAAGAUCCGUGUGCCGUAGAGCAGCAGGAGACCGAUUUGUAUUUUGAGAGAAAAAAAUUGAGAAAAUUCAUUGAACUGUUCGCGCACUUGCAAACUCCAAAUACACGACGCAACGAGAUUAUUACGAGCAUAUUCAUUCAAAUAAAAUUUAACGAGACGAUGUAUUCCAUGUAUUCCGCGGGCGCUUUGGCCCAUCACGUUCAAGCUGUCUAAUCUGAGUCCAGAGGCGAAUAAAUUAAGGUAUCGGAUCGA